CCUACGGGAGGCAGCAGUGAGGAAUAUUGGUCAAUGGACGCGAGCCUGAACCAGCCAUGCAGCGUGCAGGAAGACUGCCCUAUGGGUUGUAAACUGCUUUUGUAAGAGAGUAAAUUCAGGUACGUGUGUCUUUUUGUAAGUAUCUUACGAAUAAGGAUCGGCUAACUCCGUGCCAGCAGCCGCGGUAAUACGGAGGAUCCGAGCGUUAUCCGGAUUUAUUGGGUUUAAAGGGUGCGUAGACGGGUUGUUAAGUUAGAUGUGAAAGCUCGCGGCUCAACUGCGAAAUUGUAAUUAAUACUGGCGGACUAGAGAGUAGUUGCGGUAGGCGGAAUGGAUGGUGUAGCGGUGAAAUGCUUAGAGAUCACAAAGAACACCGAUUGCGAAGGCAGCUUACUAAACUAUAACUGACGUUGAGGCACGAAAGUGUGGGGAGCAAACAGGAUUAGAUACCCGAGUAGUC
rnacentral:rRNA from 1 species